AACCUGAGCCAUGUGCAUGGAUGGCUCUUGUGCACUCAUAUUCCUUCUGUCAGCUGCUUAUAGGGGUUGAAAACCUUCAGAAGGCAGAUACAAGUGAUAUGAAAUAGCCUGAGUUAAAAACUCGACUCUGAGUCAAAAACUCAGCAUCAAAAAUUGUGAGAUACCCCAUGAUACUGCAUGCCACACGUAGAGUAAUGGGAAAGCUUAAACGGCUUCUGCCUCAGGCAGAAUGCAACAGAAAACCUGACAGGGAAAGGUAAGAUGGUAGCGGUGAAAGCAGCCAGGAUUGCGUGGUGAUUGCUGCAUGGGAGGUUGCAGCCAAGACUCUAAAAUGACUUAAACCACUGCUGUAUACUUUUGGAUUUGUUUCUUCUUUUCUUAUGUUUUGGAGGAGAAGAGGGUGUGUCUGGAAGUUCAGAUGCUAGCUUGGGACUUAGGCCAUAUUUAUCCAGGUUUCUGCCUUGCCAGUUACUCCCUUCGCAGUUCCUGAGGGAGAACAGACUGCAUUGUUUGUGAGCUUCAAUCCAGGUCAAGUAGGCCGGAUCUUCCACAGAGAAGUUGCUGACUUUGGCCCCAAAAAAUCAUUGUUAAGGAGCCAGCAGAGGCAACCCAGCUCCCAGGUCCCCCAGGAACCUCAUGGGACUGGCAAGAAAAGAAAAAAACACCUCAGGUGUGUUGGCCCCAGAAGAGGAGUUUUCAGCACGUAAUAUGUGGCCACACUGCCUGGCCUGUUUCCCAGCACUUAGUGAAAGCAUUGCAGGCAGCAAAGGCAUCGCUGUGCUUUUACGAGAAAAAUCAAGAGCGCAAGAGCACAUUUUGAAGUGAAGGCACAUUGUCAAUAAUUAUGCACGGUUUGGGUUUGUGCUGCGUCGCCACUCAUCCUUGGAUCCUACACCGAGUCCUGACUUUCUUAUGGCACAGAUAAUUACUUAAAAGAAAGAAACCCAACAGAAUUUCCACGAUCUAUAUCUACAGCCUCACACAUGGAAGACAUAACAUUUGAUGGUAAAUUUUUGCUUUGACGUUAUAGUAGAAGUUAAGGGAAAAGGUGUCAUCCUUGGCCCAGAGUUUCAUAAGUGCCACAGGCAGAUGGGCUCUUUUAAACCUUCUUCUCCUCUUCCAAAAGGAGAAACUCACAAUCUGGACUCAAUUGAACCUUAAAGCCAUAAAAUUCCAGGUUCCAAUAAAUCUUCAUUUUAUAAAAACA
rnacentral:lncRNA from 1 species